rnacentral:rRNA from 1 species
UCCAGAGUUUGAUCAUGGCUCAGAUUGAACGCUGGCGGCAGNNAUAACACAUGCAAGUCGAGCGGANGACGGGAGCUUGCUCCUUGAUUCAGCGGCGGACGGGUGAGUAAUGCCUAGGAAUCUGCCNGGUAGUGGGGGACAACGUUUCGAAAGGAACGCUAAUACCGCAUACGUCCUACGGGAGAAAGCAGGGGACCUUCGGGCCUUGCGCUAUCAGAUGAGCCUAGGUCGGAUUAGCUAGUUGGUGGGGUAAUGGCUUUNCAAGGCGACGGAAANUAGCUUUCNNCUNAGGANUGGAACACUGAACGGACCGCAC